AGACCAUGAUGCGGGCAGAGUCUCAUCAUGUCCUUAUAUCUUUCCCAAGCUUCAAAAAAGGAUUCAUCAUCAACUUGUCUAAAAUAAGUUAUUUGGUUUCUUAUAUU